rnacentral:rRNA from 1 species
UACGGGGGGGGCAAGCGUUGUUCGGAAUUACUGGGCGUAAAGGGUUCGUAGGUGGCUUGUUAAGUCAGACGUGAAAUCCCUCGGCUCAACCGGGGAACUGCGUCUGAGACUGAUGAGCUCGAGUGCAGGAGAGGAACGCGGAAUUCCAGGUGUAGCGGUGAAAUGCGUAGAUAUCUGGAGGAACACCGGUGGCGAAGGCGGCGUUCUGGACUGCAACUGACACUGAGGAACGAAAGCCAGGGGAGCAAACGGGAUUAGAUACCCCGGUAGUCCUGGCCCUAAACGAUGAAUGCUUGGUGUGGUGGGUAUCGAUCCCUGCCGUGCCGGAGUUAACGCGUUAAGCAUUCCGCCUGGGGAGUACGGUCGCAAGGCUGAA